rnacentral:rRNA from 1 species
AUUGAACGCUGGCGGCAGGCCUAACACAUGCAAGUCGAGCGGAUGAAGGGAGCUUGCUCCUGAAUUCAGCGGCGGACGGGUGAGUAAUGCCUAGGAAUCUGCCUGGUAGUGGGGGAUAACGUCCGGAAACGGGCGCUAAUACCGCAUACGUCCUGAGGGAGAAAGUGGGGGAUCUUCGGACCUCACGCUAUCAGAUGAGCCUAGGUCGGAUUAGCUAGUUGGUGGGGUAAAGGCCUACCAAGGCGACGAUCCGUAACUGGUCUGAGAGGAUGAUCAGUCACACUGGAACUGAGACACGGUCCAGACUCCUACGGGAGGCAGCAGUGGGGAAUAUUGGACAAAGGGCGAAAGCCUGAUCCAGCCAUGCCGCGUGUGUGAAGAAGGUCUUCGGAUUGUAAAGCACUUUAAGUUGGGAGGAAGGGCAGUAAGUUAAUACCUUGCUGUUUUGACGUUACCAACAGAAUAAGCACCGGCUAACUUCGUG